CCAGCACCCGCGGUAAUUCCAGCUCCAAUAGCGUAUAUUAAAGUUGUUGCAGUUAAAAAGCUCGUAGUUGGAUUUGUGGUGGUCCUCGCGGUCCAAUUUUGGUACUGUUGAGGACGACCAUCCUUGGGUGGAUCCUGUGUGGCAUUAGGUUGUCGUGCAGGGGAUGCCCAUCGUUUACUGUGAAAAAAUUAGAGUGUUCAAAGCAGGCUUAUGCCGUUGAAUAUAUUAGCAUGGAAUAAUGAGAUAGGACCUUGGUACUAUUUUGUUGGUUUGCGCACCGAGGUAAUGAUUAAUAGGGACAGUUGUGGGUAUUCGUAUUCCAUUGUCAGAGGUGAAAUUCUUGGAUUUCUGGAAGACGAACUAAUGCGAAAGCAUUUACCAAGGAUGUUUUCAUUAAUCAAGAACGAAAGU
rnacentral:rRNA from 1 species